rnacentral:rRNA from 1 species
GACGAACCGUCCAAACGUUAUUCGGAAUCACUGGGCUUACAGAGUUCGUAGGCGGUCUGGAAAGUUGGGUGUGAAAUCCCUCGGCCUAACCGAGGAACUGCGCUUGAAACUACCAGACUCGAGGGAGAUAGAGGAAAGCGGAACUGAUGGUGGAGCGGUGAAAUGCGUUGAUAUCAUCAGGAACACCGGUGGCGAAGGCGGCUUUCUGGGUCUUACCUGACGCUGAGGAGCGAAAGCUAGGGGAGCAAACGGG